UACGUAGGGGGCGAGCGUUGUCCGGAUUUAUUGGGCGUAAAGAGCUCGUAGGUGGUUCGGUAAGUCGGAUGUGAAAUCUCCAGGCUCAACCUGGAGGGGUCAUUCGAUACUGCCGUGACUAGAGUUCGGUAGGGGAGUGUGGAAGUUCCUGGUGGAGCGGUGAAAUGCGUAGAUAUCAGGAGGAAUACCGAUGGCGAAGGCAGGUCUCUGGGCUGACACUGACGCUCAUGCACGAAAGCGUGGGGAGCAAACAGG
rnacentral:rRNA from 1 species